rnacentral:rRNA from 1 species
AAUGGACGUUGGCGGCGUGGAUUAGGCAUGCAAGUCGAGCGAGAACCGUAGCAAUACGGGGACAGCGGCGAAAGGGACAGUAAUGUGUAGGUACCUACCCCUGGGUUCGGGAUAGCUGCGGGAAACUGCAGGUAAUACCGAAUAAUGUCUCCGGACCAAAGGUGUGAUUCCACCUUGGGAGGGGCCUGCAUCCUAUUAGCUUGUUGGCGGGGUAACGGCCCAACAAGGCAACGAUGGGUAGCGGGUGUGAGAGCACGACCCGCGUCAUUGGGACUGAGAUACUGCCCAGACGCCUACGGGUGGCUGCAGUCGAGGAUCUUCGGCAAUGGGCGAAAGCCUGACCGAGCGACGCCGCGUGCGGGAUGAAGGCCUUCGGGUUGUAAACCGCUGUCGUAGAGGAGGAAAUGCAGGGGGGUUCUCCCCUUUGCUUGACCUAUUCUAGGAGGAAGUACGGGCUAAGUUCGUGCCAGCAGCCGCAGUAA